rnacentral:rRNA from 1 species
UGGCGGACGGGUGAGUAACGCGUGGGUAACCUGCCGUAUACAGGGGGAUAACACUUAGAAAUAGGUGCUAAAACCGCAUAAGCGCACAGCGCCGCAUGGCGCAGUGUGAAAAACUCCGGUGGUAUACGAUGGACCCGCGUCUGAUUAGCCAGUUGGCAGGGUAACGGCCUACCAAAGCGACGAUCAGUAGCCGGCCUGAGAGGGUGGACGGCCACAUUGGGACUGAGACACGGCCCAAACUCCUACGGGAGGCAGCAG